AUACGUAGGGGGCGAGCGUUGUCCGGAAUGAUUGGGCGUAAAGGGCGCGUAGGCGGCCCGGUAAGUCUGGAGUGAAAGUCCUGUUUUUAAGAUGGGAAUUGCUUUGGAUACUGUCGGGCUUGAGUGCAGGAGAGGUAAGUGGAAUUCCCAGUGUAGCGGUGAAAUGCGUAGAGAUUGGGAGGAACACCAGUGGCGAAGGCGACUUACGUGACUGUAACUGACGCUGAGGCGCGAAAGUGUGGGGAGCAAACAGGAUUAGAUACCCUGGUAGUCCACGCUGUAAACGAUGAUUACUAGGUGUGGGGGGACUGACCCCUUCCGUGCCGCAGUUAACACAAUAAGUAAUCCACCUGGGGAGUACGGCCGCAAGGUUGAAACUUAAAGGAAUUGGCGGGG
rnacentral:rRNA from 1 species